ACCUCGCAGUUCGGUGCGGAGGAGGCUGGAGCGGACGCACCGCCCCCUCCUUCUCCCGUUCCCGGCGCCGCGCAUAAUUACCUUAUCAGCUCCGGUGCCCCGCCCCCAUCCGAGCAGCACGAAUCCAGUGCGUGUUCCCGUUCCUCCAUCCCUGCUGCCUAGCCUCAAGCCUCGUCAGGUCCCCCUGGGAUCAAAGCAACGGUCUCCUGACUAGUUUCCCUCUGGGUCUUCUCCCAGCAAUCUGGGCACGGCAACCUGUGUGAUCGGAUCACUGCAUGCUUCUUUACAAAAUAUAGCGAAGCCUGUUAAUGCUGACAGUCUUAGUGAGGGUGCUGCCCCAGGCAUGCUCAUUCUGCUGGCAGAUGGAGAAACUGAGACCCGGAGAAGAAAUAUGUGCUGUCCGGGACAGAGCCCAAACUGGCAGUCAAGAUCUCUACACAGUGAGAGCUUACUAUUCAUCCAUACUGAGUUCUCCUAUGCAUAAAAAUAGUGUUCAGAGACUGACCACAGACUCCUAAGAAAUUUACCCUGGUUAUUUAUCUACCUUCACAGUAGCCCCACGAGAGACAUGAUAUUAUUUAUCCCAUUGCAGAGAUGAGGAACUGAAGCAUAGCUCAAGGUCAUGAAGCAAAUCCCCAACCCAACUGACACACCAAGCCCCUCAAAAUUUUCCUCCUACUUGGAUCCCAGGAGUGUAUCAUUCUCACUGGCUACUCCUGCCUCUUCUAGGGGAGUUUUUAUGGUCUGCCUUCUGGCCACAGCUGUUGCACCAGGGCUGGACAUCUGAACCAAGGGAAAGCAAGAAACAGAUUGACUGAGCCACUUAAGUCCUCUCUUGGGAGUAUUUGAACUAAGAAAAUGCAGAAGCUAAGUUAUUUAGAUGGUGGUGCGAACAGGAGACCAGUACCUGGAAGCCACCAUGAGCUAGGGUGAGCCAGGAGAAAAGAGUGGAUCAAAGGCAUGAGGGAAACAGAGAGAAAGAAACUGGGCUUACCCCAGCUGUGCUUGUGGGUGUGUCUGUGGACACACACCCUCCACCUUCACUAAACAGUCAAAUAGUACCCAACACCCAGCACAGUGUCUUCUCAGAUCCCAUGAGAUCUGACUGUAUUUUCCACUACUGGGUUCUCUGAAAUUCCCAUCUGUCUUCUCAGGAAAUCCUCUUUUCACUUCCACCGUUUGAGCAUGUUGGUCCUUGCAGCCUAUGAGCAGGCCUAAAACACCAGCUCGUGCAAUCUACCGGCUCAGGGCCUGCUUCCCUCAGGAAGCCUCCCCCGCUCUGCGUUCUCAUCUUCCCCAGGCAGAUCAUAAACCAACCGUGGCAGCCAUAACUUCCAUUUCCCUCCCACCAUUUCACUCCUCCUUGAUUGAUUGACUCUUCUAACUUUGGGGUACCCAUAUUUCAUUUUAACACUUGAAGCUGGACUAUCCUUAUUGCUAUCAGCUUAUAUUCUAAUAAAUCCAUGUGUUUAUCCCUCA